UGUCGUCAGCUCGUGUUGUGAAAUGUUGGGUUAAGUCCCGCAACGAGCGCAACCCUUAUCCUUUGUUGCCAGCGGUCCGGCCGGGAACUCAAAGGAGACUGCCAGUGAUAAACUGGAGGAAGGUGGGGAUGACGUCAAGUCAUCAUGGCCCUUACGACCAGGGCUACACACGUGCUACAAUGGCGCAUACAAAGAGAAGCGACCUCGCGAGAGCAAGCGGACCUCAUAAAGUGCGUCGUAGUCCGGAUUGGAGUCUGCAACUCGACUCCAUGAAGUCGGAAUCGCUAGUAAUCGUG
rnacentral:rRNA from 1 species